UUACCCUGAUCGACUCUCUUCCUCUGCUUACACAUACUGUGCCUGCCCCUGCCUCCAUGGACAUCAAUCAGCCAUCAAUCCUGAUUCUAGAUCAUCUUUGGUUUUAAGCAGCCCUCCGUCAUUGGCUCCAUUCCUGUGCAAUCUCAUCCAAAUUCUCUGGGAGUCAGUGAGUCACUGGCUGGUAGUGAGCAUCUCAGACGAGACUGUCCAGAAAAAAACUGGUGUCUUUCUAUGGUGUUUGUUAAAAGGUAAUCUUUACACCCAAUGUGGGGCUCAAUCCAACUUCACAACCCUGAGAUCAGGAGUUGCCUGUCCAUAGGACUAAGCCAGCCAGGUGCUCUAGUGAUCACAGUUUAAAUUGUGCCCACUUGCCUGCCUCCCCAAGUGUAUGUGCUUCAAGAAUCAAAAGAAUGGAAUUCUAAUGGUGGAAGGAUCAGAGCAACUGGCACCUGUCCCCGCACCACGAGGCCACCACCGCCCGGAGGAUACCUCUGAGAGAUCACAGUCCUGCACGUGUUCCCAGUGGUGAGGAGCCCGGGGUCCUCGCGCUCCAGGUGCUCAGCCUCCACCAGGGGAUUCUGCCCAGCGCGUUCCUGCAGCCAACCUGAGCAGCACAAGAAGACUUUAGUGAUCCAGCCUUCCCAGUGGGGAACCUCGAGAAGAUCAUGAGGGCAAAGCAGUGGCACCCUGAUACCCAGGAACUUGCUGAGCAUAACCCACUCUUCCUCUGACCUUGCCCUCUCCCCAGGUGGGCUCAGCCCUUAUAUCUGUGCUCCUGUCCACUUUCUCUGCUCAGCACUUAAAUUUCUAACCUGCACUUGAACCCCGUCGUCAACCUUACCCCACUGGGUGGGACCCUGACCCUUGGAGCUCUCUCGCCGCUCACUCCCCAGGGGCUGUGUUUUGUAACGCUGUCCUCUUUCUUACUGGGAGCCUUCUACAGCUGCAGUGGUUCCUAACAAGAGCCCUGUCCGUCUGCUCUCAUGACCUCUCCCACUUGGGAGAGGCAUACCUUGCCCAUCAACUGGGUCCCGGCAUGAAUAUCUGUUGUAUGUACACAAGGAUGGCAAGCCUUUUGGUCUUUGGGCAAUGGAAUAUCCACCAGACUCACAGCCAGGCCAUGUGCCAGUCCCCAAGCCCACCAGUAUUAACUACCUGCCAGCCUCCAUUGGUGUCUGCUGAUGAGGUAUGCUCAGUGGCUAGGCCUCUCCAAAGGUGCACGUAGGAGCUUGGCAUUGCUUAGACCAUAUCCCCAUGCCCCUACAGGUCAACAAGACACAUAGCUAAGGUUCAAGGCUCAAGACCAAGACAUAAGUGGUGCUAAGUGAUGGGGUUUCCCUUGCACAUGGUGCUGACUGAGAGAUGUGGAGGGCAUUCUGAUCGUUUAAAUCUUCUGGGAAGAAUAGGUCAGUUAUAUUAGAUCAACAAUUCCAGACAUUUGGAUUUCAUGGGCCAUUACAGUUUCAAAAAUACUCUUUGAGAGACUUUAUAAUGUUGGCAACCAAAUAAGGGGCAAUAAAAAAAAAUAACAAUCUCUAUCAUGAGGCUGUAAUGGGAGGUUGUAUUUUAAUAUUUAAAAAAGUAAGGGAUAUAAUCUCAGCCUUUGAAAAAUGAGUUCUAUGGAAAAUUUCUAUACUUUGUUUCACCAGAGACCAGUAGAAAUUGAUCAUGAAUCAGCCCUAGCCUAGGGCCUAGAAUUUUGUGGUCUCUGGCCAAGAAGCUCUCUGAAAUUUCCUCUGUCUUCUCCUCCUUACUGCCUGGCAACCAGACACAUUUGGCAGCUCAGAUGAUCGGGUGACCCUUCCUUUAAUGAGAACGAUCUGUCUUUCUGCAACUCUCACACCUUGGUCUUGGUUCUGCCUUGACCCAGAAUGGGUUUACUGCCCCUUUUCUAAGGCAUCCCUUUGGAUAUUUGAGGUCUGCACCAAAAACCUUCCUCUGGCUAUCCUCCCAGUCCCCUGCCCCAGGUCAGGACUGGACAGGGAGGAAGUCUUCCAGAGAGAAAGGGAGCAGUCCAAGCACUGGGGAGGCCUCUAUCAGCCUGCCUUAAUGAAACAGGAGCAGGAAGUUGCCAGACGGAAGACAGAGGCUGGAGAACCAAGGGAGGUGGGACAACUGAGCAGCAGGAACCCAGAACUGCGUGUGACAUAAGAAAGCCUUGACAGGAGUCCAGAGACUUCAUGGGAUGGGUCUCUUCCAGCCGAGUGCUUGCCUCUGUGGCCUCCAAACCCAGAGCAGCCCCAGAGGUGGUCCUUACACAUGGGAGGAGACAUUCUUGCAAGACCCCAGCUGUGUGCUUUCCUCUCAGAAAAGUAUGCCUGUACCCCUCAUUUGUGGCACGUUGUCCCAGGGCACAGCUGUCUAUAGGCCAGACAUUAGCAGCUCUGAUGGAUACAGCAGACCAGGGCAGAGAACCUGUCCUGCCUCUAGUCCUCUGUGAGUCGGAGUAGCUCGGAACCUGCUGGCAAGCCAUGGCCUCAGCAGCAACCCGGGGAGAGCGAGGGACCAUCCUCAUGAGGCCUAGAGGCAUUCAUAAGCCUCACUCCCAUGUAUCGAAUAUUGAGCUCAAAAUUCCUCGGAGGCUGCCCAUUCUUCUUUAGAUAAAAAGCCAUAUUUUUAAACUUAGGCUACCAGCCUCUGCCUGACUCACUAAGACCAGCCACACCUACUGCCUUUCCCUUCAACUGUGCCCUGUCCUCAGGCCUGGGGGGGGGCCCCUUCCUGUGACCCCUUUUGCCCACAUGGCCCCUUUUAUCUCCCCAACCCUUGCUGACCCUUCAGGUCUCAGCUAACCAGGCCCCUCUUAGGGAAGCUUUUCUUGACUCCCUGGUCUGAAGCUGUGUUGAUACAGUAGCCACUAGGCACAUGUGGCUGUCAAGCACUCGAAAAGUAUCUAGUCCAGGACACCUGGGUGGCUCAGUCGGUUAAGCGUCUGCCUUCAGCUCAAGUCAUGAUCCCAGGGUCUUGGGAUAGAGCCCUGCAUUGAGUGUCUUGAUCAGUGGAGAGCCUGCUUCUCCGUCUGCCUGCUGCCUCCCCUGCUUGUGUUUGCUCCCUUUCUGACAAUAAAUAAAACCUUGAAAGGAAGGAAGAAAAGCACCUAGUCCAAAUUGAGAUGCACCACAAGUUUAAAAUACACACCAAAUUUUUAAAAACUUAGUAUAGAAAUAAGAAUGUAAAAUAUCUCCUUGAUAAUUUUUAAUACUGAUUACCUAUUGAAAUGCUAAUAUUUUAGAUAUAUUGGGUUAAGGAAAAUAUUCGAGUUUCUUUUUUUUUUUUUUUUUUUACUUUUGCUAAGGUGGCUACCAGGAAAUUUAAAAUUGUGUAUGUGGCUUAUAUUUGUGUCUUAUGUUAUAUUUCUGUUGGAUUGAGCUGGUCCACAGCAUAGCGCCCUGGUACAUGUUUAGAUGGCACUGUAUAUCUUUCUUCUUCCUGACCUUCAUUUCACUUUAUAAUUAUGCACACACACCCCCACCCCGGAAUAUAAGGUCCAUGAGGACAGAGACCAUGUUUAUGUUGUGGCCUUUGUGACCUUGGGCAACUCGGGUCACCGCUCUGAGAUAAAUGGAGAUGAACAGAUGUGCUUCGAAAGGAUUGCUUGCGGGGAAUUAAAUAAGAGGAGGAAU